UACGUAGGGGGCUAGCGUUGUCCGGAUUUAUUGGGCGUAAAGAGCGUGUAGGCGGCCAGGUAGGUCUGCUGUGAAAACUCGAGGCUCAACCUCGAGACGUCGGCGGAAACCAUCUGGCUAGAGUCCGGAAGAGGAGAGUGGAAUUCCUGGUGUAGCGGUGAAAUGCGCAGAUAUCAGGAAGAACACCCGUGGCGAAGGCAGCACUCUGGGACGUGACUGACGCUGAGACGCGAAAAGCGUGGGGAGCAAACAGG
rnacentral:rRNA from 1 species